rnacentral:lncRNA from 1 species
UGUUUCAACCAUCACCAUCUCUCUCUUUCGGAGGUCUUAUUUGGCACGAAUGAUCUGCAAAAAGUCUCUAAUUAGAGGUGACUCCAAUAAAGAUUCUUUGACACUCAAGUCAAAAUUUCAUUCCACAGAAGAAAGAGCGUGAGAGGCAGAGUGAUUGCAUACCUUCUCGUGGAUCUUUUUUAAAUUUCUUUUAUAGCAGAGAAUUGGAACUUCAGUUGACAAGUUGGUUGGCACGAUCCUAUAUAAUCAAGACAUGAUUCGUUGGGUUGUCAUUCGAUAUUUUCGAGAUGUGGCGAAUAUGGUUGCCUUAUCAGUCUAACGACAGCUGUUGCCUCGUAGGUGUCGUGUUUUGAAUGG